GGUGCCCGAUCCCAUGGACAUCGAGAACAGGUGCUGCGGGUGCCCGCAGGCAGACAUGGAGGCUGCCGGGCGGGAGGAUCAUUGAGCUGUGCCACCAGUUCCCCCAUGGCAUUACAGACCAGGUGAUCCAGAAUGACAUGCCUCACAUGGAAGCCCAGCAGAGAGCUGUGGCCAUCAACAGGCUGCUCUCCAUGGGUCAGCUGGACCUUCUGAGGAGCAGUGCAGGUCUCCUGUACAGAAUCAAAGAUUCCCAAAAUGCGAGUAAAAUGAAAGGCUCUGACAAUCAAGAGAAGCUGGUUUACCAAAUCAUAGAGGACGCAGGCAACAAAGGUAUUUGGAGCAGGGACAUUAGAUACAAAAGUAAUCUGCCUUUAACAGAGAUCAACAAGAUAUUGAAAAACUUGGAAAGCAAGAAGCUAAUUAAAGCAGUUAAAUCUGUGGCAGCAUCCAAGAAGAAGGUCUAUAUGCUGUACAACCUGCAGCCUGACCGCUCUGUCACUGGAGGGGCCUGGUACAGUGACCAGGACUUCGAGUCUGAGUUUGUGGAGGUGUUAAAUCAACAGUGUUUUAAGUUUCUGCAGAGUAAGGCAGAAGCAGCUCGAGACAGCAAACAGAACCCCAUGAUACAGAGGAACAGCUCGUUUGCCUCAUCCCAUGAGGUGUGGAAAUACAUCUGUGAACUGGGCAUCAGUAAGGUAGAGUUGUCAAUGGAAGACAUUGAGACCAUUUUGAAUACUCUGAUCUAUGAUGGCAAAGUGGAGAUGACCAUUAUUGCUGCCAAGGAGGGGACAGUGGGCAGUGUGGACGGGCAGAUGAGGUUGUACAGAGCUGUUAGUCCUCUCAUCCAGCCCACUGGAUUGGUCAGGACACCCUGUGGACUCUGCCCUGUUUUUGAUGAUUGUCAUGAAGGUGGUGAGAUUUCUCCAUCAAACUGUAUUUAUAUGACAGAGUGGUUGGAGUUUUAAAGUGAAAGAAAGCUAUAAACUGGAUUCCUCCUUCAUAGCCAAAGUGACAAAGCAGCUUGCUUUUUUUAAAAGCGGUCUUGUAAAUUUUUAAGCAACUUCAGGACAUGGAGUGACAAACCAGCCAGCAAUCAGCACAGAGAAGCCAAGGGAAAAUGCUGCUGUCUUCCCUGGAGGGAGCCUUGGAUCAGACAUCUUUUAUUCCACCCAAGCUAGAAGAUAACUUCCUAGGAAGCAACAGGACUUUAUCAUGCAGAUAGAAAUCUGUCUGAUCUAUUUCUACAUGAAUCAGAGAAAUGAUCUUCCUGUCACUCUAGUUCUUCAUGAACCUGGCUGAUCUAUCAGCCUGACAUUCUUAUCUGAAAAGAGAGUAAAUGCUAAAAGGUAACAUUAAUAGUGUCCUGAGUUUUGUCAGUCUUCUCCCUGGCAAAGCUGUCCCUAUUCCAAACUGGUAUGAAAUGUAAUGUUUUGAGGAAGGUACUAUAGUAGCUCCAGUACUCAAUAUGAAAGCACUUAUGUGUAGAAAGCUGAAUUAUCCCUCAAAACAUGGAUGACAGAUUGGAAGCAUGAUCUGCUCAUUUAUUUUUGCAGGCCUCAUAUAAGAGGUCCAAGUUCAGCUGCUGCAAG